rnacentral:rRNA from 1 species
GACGAACGCUGGCGGCGUGCUUAACACAUGCAAGUCGAACGGAAAGGCCCUGCUUUUGUGGGGUGCUCGAGUGGCGAACGGGUGAGUAACACGUGAGUAACCUGCCCUUGACUUUGGGAUAACUUCAGGAAACUGGGGCUAAUACCGGAUAGGAGCUCCUGCUGCAUGGUGGGGGUUGGAAAGUUUCGGCGGUUGGGGUUGGACUCGCGGCUUAUCAGCUUGUUGGUGGGGUAGUGGCUUACCAAGGCUUUGACGGGUAGCCGGCCUGAGAGGGUGACCGGCCACAUUGGGACUGAGAUACGGCCCAGACUCCUACGGGAGGCAGCAGUGGGGAAUAUUGCACAAUGGGCGGAAGCCUGAUGCAGCAACGCCGCGUGCGGGAUGACGGCCUUCGGGUUGUAAACCGCUUUCGCCUGUGACGAAGCGUGAGUGACGGUAAUGGGUAGAGAAGCACCGGCUAACUACGUG